rnacentral:rRNA from 1 species
AUUGAACGCUGGCGGCAUGCCUUACACAUGCAAGUCGAACGGCAGCGCGGGAGCAAUCCUGGCGGCGAGUGGCGAACGGGUGAGUAAUAUAUCGGAACGUGCCCAGUAGUGGGGGAUAACGCAGCGAAAGCUGCGCUAAUACCGCAUACGAUCUAUGGAUGAAAGCGGGGGACCGAAAGGCCUCGCGCGAUUGGAGCGGCCGAUGUCAGAAUAGGUAGUUGGUGGGGUAAAGGCUCAACAAGCCAACGAUCUGGAGCUGGUCUGAGAGGACGACCAGCCACACUGGGACUGAGACACGGCCCAGACUCCUACGGGAGGCAGCAGUGGGGAAUUUUGGACAAUGGGCGCAAGCCUGAUCCAGCAAUGCCGCGUGCAGGAAGAAGGCCUUCGGGUUGUAAACUGCUUUUGUCAGGGAAGAAAUCUUCUGGGCUAAUACCCCGGGAGGAUGACGGUACCUGAAGAAUAAGCACCGGCUAACUACGUGCCAGCAGCCGCCGUAAUAC